UGGGGAAUUUUGGACAAUGGGCGAAAGCCUGAUCCAGCAAUGCCGCGUGUGUGAAGAAGGCCUUCGGGUUGUAAAGCACUUUUGUCCGGAAAGAAAUCCUUGGCUCUAAUACAGUCGGGGGAUGACGGUACCGGAAGAAUAAGCACCGGCUAACUACGUGCCAGCAGCCGCGGUAAUACGUAGGGUGCAAGCGUUAAUCGGAAUUACUGGGCGUAAAGCGUGCGCAGGCGGUUUGCUAAGACCGAUGUGAAAUCCCCGGGCUCAACCUGGGAACUGCAUUGGUGACUGGCAGGCUAGAGUAUGGCAGAGGGGGGUAGAAUUCCACGUGUAGCAGUGAAAUGCGUAGAGAUGUGGAGGAAUACCGAUGGCGAAGGCAGCCCCCUGGGCCAAUACUGACGCUCAUGCACGAAAGCGUGGGGGGCAAACAGGAUUAGAUACCCUGGUAGUCCACGCCCUAAACGAUGUCAACUAGUUGUUAGGGAUUCAUUUCCUUAGUAACGUAGCUAACGCGUGAAGUUGACCGCCUGGGGAGUACGGUCGCAAGAUUAAAACUCAAAGGAAUUGACGGGGUCAUAGCUGUUUCCU
rnacentral:rRNA from 1 species